rnacentral:rRNA from 1 species
UACGGGGGGGUAAGCGUUGUUCGGAAUUACUGGGCGUAAAGGGCUCGUAGGCGGCCAACUAAGUCGGACGUGAAAUCCCUCAGCUUAACUGGGGAACUGCGUCCGAUACUGGAUGGCUUGGAUUUGGGAGAGGGAUGCGGAAUUCCAGGUGUAGCGGUGAAAUGCGUAGAUAUCUGGAGGAACACCGGUGGCGAAGGCGGCAUCCUGGACCAAUAUUGACGCUGAGGAGCGAAAGCCAGGGGAGCAAACAGG